rnacentral:rRNA from 2 species
UACCGCGGUUAUACGAGGGGCUCAAGUUGAUAACAAACGGCACAAAAGGUGGUUACAUAAAACGUAAAACUAAGGCUAAACGCUUUCAAAGCUGUUAUACGCUCUCGAAAGUAUGAAAAUCAAUUACGAAAGUAGCCUUACAAAAUUCGAACCCACGAAAGCUAAGAAA